rnacentral:tRNA from 1 species
CGGGGCGUAGCGCAGCCUGGUAGCGCACCGCAAUGGGGUUGCGGGGGUCGCGAGUUCGAAUCUCGCCGCCCCGACCA